CAUUCUCGGUCGCUAGACGUAGAGGGAACUGGGGUUGCUGCUGCAGAGACUGGAAAGGAAUUGGGGGAUGCAUACCCAGUAAAUGAUGGUGAGUGGCUCCAUUUGCCCCAGAGGGAAAGAUGACUCCACCAGCAACAGCACUUGCUCCAAACAGCUGGUUCCUCAGGUGUGAAUCAGAUACCAGUCUUCUGUGUCCCUAAAUGCAGAAGACACAUGUCAAGCCUUCAAGAGAUUCUACCGAAACCUCUUUCACCAGACUUGACUGGGGGAGAGAGACAAGUCACAGCCUACCUGCAGCCCACCUGCAGAUUUCUCUAAAUAAA